rnacentral:rRNA from 1 species
UACGUAGGCGGAUUCGCAGGCAUCUUGUGAAAUCCCUCCGCUCAACGGAGGAACUGCAGGGUGAACCGCGAGUCUUGAGACAGGUAGGGGCUGUCGGAACGCUAGGUGGAGUGGUGAAAUGCGUUGAUAUCUAGCGGAACGCCGAAGGAGAAAUCAGGCAGCAGGGCCUGUUCUGACGCUGAUGUACGAAAGCGUGGGGAGCGAACAGGAUUAGAUACCCUGGUAGUCC